rnacentral:lncRNA from 1 species
UGAAAAUUAAAAAAAUCCCACCUGCGCUUUCUCAAUGAAAUUUUUACAGUGUGUUGUACUACUUUUGGGACAAAUUAUAUCAAAAUUAUAGAAAACUUCAUCUGCUCUAACUCAAAAUAUGGACAAUUUUAUGUUUAGGGCGUCUUGAAAUUUUUUGACUUCCGAAGUGCUAAUUUGCAACCUUUUUCAGCUGGACCAAAUCACUACUUUCCUUUAAAAUUCUGAACCCAAAUUUUUUUACAGUGUAAUUUCACCC